GACGAACGCUGGCGGCGUGCCUAAUACAUGCAAGCAGAACGCUGAAGAGAGGAGCUUGCUCUUCUUGGAUGAGUUGCGAACGGGUGAGUAACGCGUAGGUAACCUGCCUGGUAGCGGGGGAUAACUAUUGGAAACGAUAGCUAAUACCGCAUAAAAUGGAUUAUCGCAUGAUAAUCCAUUGAAAGGUGCAAAUGCAUCACUACCAGAUGGACCUGCGUUGUAUUAGCUAGUUGGUGGGGUAACGGCUCACCAAGGCGACGAUACAUAGCCGACCUGAGAGGGUGAUCGGCCACACUGGGACUGAGACACGGCCCAGACUCCUACGGGAGGCAGCAGUAGGGAAUCUUCGGCAAUGGACGGAAGUCUGACCGAGCAACGCCGCGUGAGUGAAGAAGGUUUUCGGAUCGUAAAGCUCUGUUGUAAGAGAAGAACGAGUGUGAGAGUGGAAAGUUCACACUGUGACGGUAUCUUACCAGAAAGGGACGGCUAACUACGUG
rnacentral:rRNA from 1 species